AUACCGCGUGUGNAAGAAGGCCUGAGGGUUGUAAAGCGCUUCAAUAGGAAGGAAUACCUAUCGGUUAAUACCGCGGUAGACUGACAUUACCUAUACAAGAAGCACCGGCUAACUCCGUGCCAGCAGCCGCGGUAAUACGGAGGGUGCAAGCGUUAAUCGGAAUUACUGGGCGUAAAGCGUGCGUAGGCGGUUAUUUAAGUCAGAUGUGAAAGCCCUGGGCUUAACCUGGGAACUGCAUUUGAUACUGGAUGACUAGAGUUGAGUAGAGGAGAGUGGAAUUACAGGUGUAGCGGUGAAAUGCGUAGAGAUCUGAAGGAACACCAGUGGCGAAGGCGGCUCUCUGGACUCAAACUGACGCUGAGGUACGAAAGCGUGGGUAGCAAACAGGAUUAGAUACCCUGGUAGUCCACGCCGUAAACGAUGUCAACUAACCGUUGGGUUCUUUAAGAACUUAGUGGUGGAGCUAACGUAUUAAGUUGAACGGCUGGGGAGUACGGACGCAAGGCUAAAACUCAAAUGACUUGACGGGGGCCCGCAAAAGCGGUGGAGCAUGU
rnacentral:rRNA from 1 species